AAUGAACGCUGGCGGCAGGCCUAACACAUGCAAGUCGAACGCUCCGCAAGGGGAGUGGCGCACGGGUGAGUAACGCGUGGGAAUAUGCCCUUCGGUUCGGAAUAACACAGGGAAACUUGUGCUAAUACCGGAUACGAUCUACGGAUGAAAGAUUCAUCGCCGAAGGAGUAGCCCGCGUAGGAUUAGCUAGUUGGUGAGGUAAUGGCUCACCAAGGCGACGAUCCUUAGCUGGUCUGAGAGGAUGAUCAGCCACACUGGGACUGAGACACGGCCCAGACUCCUACGGGAGGCAGCAGUGGGGAAUAUUGGACAAUGGGCGAAAGCUUGAUCCAGCCAUGCCGCGUGAGUGAUGAAGGCCUUAGGGUUGUAAAGCUCUUUCGCCGGGGAAGAUAAUGACGGUACCCGGAAAAGAAGCCUCGGCUAACUCCGUGCCAGCCGCUGCAGUAAAAC
rnacentral:rRNA from 1 species